AUUGAACGCUGGCGGCAGGCCUAACACAUGCACGUCGAGCGGAGCGGCGGACGGGUGAGUAAUGCCUAGGAAUCUGCCUGGUAGUGGGGGAUAACGUCCGGCAACGGGCGCGAAUACCGCAUACUAUCAGAUGAGCCUAGGUCGGAUUAGCUAGUUGGUGGGGUAAAGGCCUACCAAGGCGACGAUCCGAAACUGGGCUGAGAGGCUGAUCAGUCACAUUGGAACGUAGACACGGUCCAGACUCCUACGGGAGGCAGCAGUGGGUAAUAUUGGAGAAUUGGCGAAAGCCUGAUACAGCCAUGCCGCGUGUGUGAAGAAGGUCUUCGGAUUGUAAAGCACGUUAAGUUGGGAGGCGUUACCAACAGAAUAAGCACCGGCUAACUUCGUGCCAGCAGCCGCGGUAAUAC
rnacentral:rRNA from 1 species